rnacentral:rRNA from 1 species
AGUGAACGCUGGCGGUAGGCCUAACACAUGCAAGUCGAACGGCAGCACAGUAAGAGCUUGCUCUUACGGGUGGCGAGUGGCGGACGGGUGAUGAAUACAUCGGAAUUUACUUUUUCGUGGGUGAUAACGUAGGGAAACUUACGCUAAUACCGCAUACGACCUACGGGUGAAAUCAGGAGAUCUUCGGACCUUGCGUGAUUGAAUGAACCGAUGUCGGAUUAGCUAGUUGGCGGGGUAAAGGCACACCAAGGCGACGAUACGAAGCUGGUCUGAGAGGAUGGUGUGCCACACCGGAACUGAGACACGGCACAGACUAGAACGGGAGGCAGCAGUGCGGAAUAUUAGACAAGGGGAGGAAGGCUGGUCCAGCCCUACCGCGUGGGUGACGAAGGCCUUCGGGUAGUAAAUGUCAUUUGUUUGGAAAGAAAAGCAGCAGUAUAAUCCUGCGCGGAUCUGAAGGUACCAAAAGAAUAAGCACCGGCUAACUUCGUG